rnacentral:lncRNA from 1 species
UUUUGUUUGGGCGAAAGAAUUUUCUAAAAAGUUUUACAUGAUUUUUUGGAUGAUAGCCCAAACCGGCUUUAUUAUAAGUUCCCUUUUGAUUUCCCAAAAUGAUGUUCAAGUUUUCUCUCCCCUUUGUGAAUUUUGCAAGUGUGUUUUGAAGAUCCUCAAUUUUAAUUUUCAAAAUAUUGCAAUCAUCACACUUGAAAAUAUUUUCCUUUUUAUUUUCACAAGAGGUGCAAGAAGAAACUUCACUAACAAAAAUUUAUUUCUCUUUAUGAAUUUCUAUUUCCUUGUUUAAAAUAUCAAUUUUUUAUUCAAGAGUGGAAAUAGUUUUCUUAGAGGUUGAAACAAUUUUUCUAAGCUUAGUUGACUCAUCAUUUAAUUCUUUACAAAUAGUAAACAACUCAUCAUAAGUUAAGUCAUAUUCAGAUUCAAUAGAGUUUACCUCAUCUUCAUCAUGGUUUGCCAUGAAACAUGAAUAUGCUACUUCAUUUUCUGAUUCAUUGGAUGAGUUUGUAUAUUUGUCAUCCGAAGCGAUAUAAGCCCUCUUUCCUUUUGUAUAUCUCUUUUGACUUAGAAGAAAAUUGGAUGUUAUGUGACCCUUUUCACCACACUUGUUGCAAUUUGGAUGGAAGGAAAUUCUUUU